CUGAAUCCACCUGUGGCCAAAUUAGAGCCAAACCACCGGCCAAUCGACCGAAAAACACCGCCGAAGUCCAGCGAUGCCGCCGCAACUUCCCUUGGUUUUUGCCUCUGAUGAGGCCCUUCAUGAUUCCCGUUUGAUGUAAUUUUUACACCACUGUGAUCACCGUCCUUUUCUCUACAGGUUGACCGGAGCAAAACAUCAAAUCGCGACUCGCGCCAAAGAAGCUGCCGCACCCGAGAGCUCCGCCGCCAGUAAGUCUCAGUUUUUCGUAAUUUUUUCACCCACUGAGGGCCCUAGGGGUGUUUUAUCGCAGGAAUCGAUGCGAGUUUGGCCGAAUUCGGCCGAAAACAGCCAACCCGUGGCGGAUCGCUGCCGUGGGCGGCGAUCCGUUGCUGGAGCACGGCGGAGCCGCUGUGUUGGAAUUUCAAUAUUGGUCUAAAGGGCCCUGGGUCUUUUUUGGGGUUUUUUGAGGUCACGUGCAGGUACCGGAAGUGUGUUUCAGUUUCUCAAAAAAAAAAUUCAAGAAAUUGAGGGACAGCCUGAAGGUGCAGUAAGAACCCGAUUUCAGACCCCGAAACAAGUAAAGAUCUCUCACCCUAUCUCCUAUCACGGUAUUAAAGCUCAAUAAAUGAUAAAACAGUAUUUCAUGAAUUAAUAGAUGUGUAUAAUUGCUUACAGUUGCUAAUGGAGCCCGAAUUUGGUGUAUUUGUCGGUCAGUUGUUGUUUGAUCUAUUUUAUAAUUUUAAAUGCAGUAUGGUACCUGAUGUGUUUAUUUUAUGAUUUCGUAUGCAUGAAUCCCGGUUUCAUUUAUUAUGAUUUGAAUUAUGGUGAACCCGAUGUUGUGUUGUUUUGUUUGGUGUUCAUUACUGGUUUACGUAUUUAUGUUUGAUUGGAUAAUUGAGACCAAGAAAAAUGGAAAA
rnacentral:lncRNA from 1 species